rnacentral:rRNA from 1 species
UACGGAGGGUGCGAGCGUUGUUCGGAAUUACUGGGCGUAAAGCGCGUGUAGGCGGCCUCCUCAGUCCGCUGUGAAAGUCGGGGGCUCAACCCUCGAAUGCCGGUGGAUACUGUCGGGCUAGAGUGCGGAAGAGGCGAGUGGAAUUCCUGGUGUAGCGGUGAAAUGCGCAGAUAUCAGGAGGAACACCAAUUGCGAAGGCAGCUCGCUGGGACGUUACUGACGCUGAGACGCGAAAGCGUGGGGAGCAAACAGG